rnacentral:tRNA from 1 species
CGCGGGGUAGAGCAGUCCGGUAGCUCGCAGGGCUCAUAACCCUGAGGUCGUUGGUUCGAAGCCAACCCCCGCAA